rnacentral:rRNA from 1 species
GACGAACGCUGGCGGCGUGCCUAAUACAUGCAAGUUGAGCGCUGAAGGUUGGUACUUGUACCAACUGGAUGAGCAGCGAACGGGUGAGUAACGCGUGGGGAAUCUGCCUUUGAGCGGGGGACAACAUUUGGAAACGAAUGCUAAUACCGCAUAAAAACUUUAAACACAAGUUUUAAGUUUGAAAGAUGCAAUUGCAUCACUCAAAGAUGAUCCCGCGUUGUAUUAGCUAGUUGGUGAGGUAAAGGCUCACCAAGGCGAUGAUACAUAGCCGACCUGCGAGGGUGAUCGGCCACAUUGGGACUGAGACACGGCCCAAACGCCUACGGGAGGCAGCAGUAGGGAAUCUUCGGCAAUGGACGAAAGUCUGACCGAGCAACGCCGCGGGAGGGAAGAAGGUUUUCGGAUCGUAAAACUCUGUUGGUAGAGAAGAACGUUGGUGAGAGUGGAAAGCUCAUCAAGUGACGGUAACUACCCAGAAAGGGACGGCUAACUACGUG